CAUGUACUCCCUCCGUCCGAAAAUACUUGUCAUCAAAAUGAAUAAAAGGGGAUGUAUUUAGAUGUAUUUUUAGUUUUAGAUACAUCCUUUUUGUCCAUUUUGAUGACAAGUAUUUUCAGACGGAGGAAGUAUGUG
rfam:Triticum aestivum genome assembly, contig: Triticum_aestivum_CS42_TGACv1_scaffold_038991_1BL